CGGAGAGUGCUGGAUGAAAGCCACUGGCAGGGGCUCUCUGCAGCUGCCUUCUCACUUUCUGGGGUUGGAGGAGGACAGAUCACUCAGGACAGAACACCCCCUCCUCCAUCUGCCCAGGGCUGGCUAGGAGCUCAGCAGAAGUCAGCACCAAACAGAGCUCUACCACUUUCUGGGUCCCUCAGAGUAUCCUACCAGAGGUGCUGGGAGACAAGAGUGCUGCUGGGAUCAGCACCUAUGGCUCGGACACGGCACAGCACCCGUAUGACGUUCCCAUCUACCACUCCGGCGGCCUGGCACAGAGGAGUCUGGAGUCAGCCUGGUCUGGGAGUAAGAAGUCACCUGCAUCCAUCGGGUAUAAUAGUUGAUCACCGUGGCAACCUGGGUCUGCUGCAGCAUGACCUCUGCAACCCACACUGGGGAAGAGCAGCUGGCAUGAGGAUACUGCUGGCUGCCCUACUCUUAGCCCACAGCUCCUAGACCCCAAACCUGAGGUCAUCUAGGCAAAGCAGCCCUGCUCCAAGGAGAUGU